CAGAGUCUUUUCCUUUUAGAAAAAAAGAAAGAAAGGAAAAGCAUUUCUCCAAGACCUCCAAAAAUCAACCCCAACACACCCCCAUUUGCAGAUUCCUCUUCUUCUUCUUUGUUCUUUGUUCUUCAUCUUCUUCAUCAUUUUCUGUGUUUAACCCACAAAUUUGCAGCUACUUCAGCUAAUAACAGAAGCUCAACAAUCUCUCUAUCUCUCUCUCUCUCUCUCUUUUUAACACCAUGUUCACUUGUUAUUAGAAAGCUUUCAACUCCUCUGUCCCUUUUCUCUGCUUUGCUCUUCACACACAUUUUUUUGAGGCUACAUUAUUCUAAAACUACAACACAACCUAGCUAAUUGACCUAAAGAUGACAAAGAUAAGUCCCGAUAUCGACGAAACAAUGCUGAAAGAGUCGAUUGUGGCUGUUUCAGCUGAUGUGAGCUUUGCUUCGGACCACUUUCCGAAGUACAAAUUAGGACCUGAUAAUCAGAUUUUGGAGGAGCCAAGAGGGGAUAACAGCGGUCCGUCGCUAAAGGAGGUUGUUGAAAGGGAAACAACACAAUUGUCCAAGCAGCACAAGCGACUCUCAGUUCGUGACCUUGCUAGUAAAUUUGACAAGAACUUAACCGCUGCUGCAAAAUUUGCCGAUGAGGCCAAGCUUAGAGAGGUUGCUUCUUUGGAGGGGCAUGUUCUUUUGAAGAAACUUAGAGACGCCUUAGAAUCUUUGAGAGGUCGAAUGGCCGGGAGAAACAAAGAAGAUGUAGAGAAAGCUAUCUCUAUGGUCGAGGCAUUGGCGGUUAAAUUGACCCAAAAAGAAGGUGAAUUGAUUCAGGAGAAGUUUGAAGUGAAAAAACUAGCAAACUUCCUCAAACAGGCUUCUGAAGAUGCUAAAAAGUUGGUCAAUCAAGAAAAAUCUUUUGCUUGUGCUGAAAUUGAAAGUGCUAGGGCUGUUGUGCAACGAUUCGGAGAGGCCCUCGAUGAGCAAGAAAAGAAUCCAGAAAAUUCUCAAAAGACACAGGAGGUUGAGGAACUAGUAGAGGAAGUUCAAGAGGCCAGAAGAAUUAAAUUCAUGCAUCAGCCUAGUAAGGUGAUGGAUAUGGAGCAUGAACUUCGUGCUCUCAGAGCUCAAAUUCGAGAAAAAACAAUAUUCUCAGUAAAGCUUCAGAAAGAGCUGGCAAUUAACAAGAGGGCAGAGGAGAACAAAUCCUGCAUGUUUGUUUUGCAUGGUUCUGAAACUCUUGGUUCAUGCUUGCAACUCAAGCCUCGAUCUGAUAAUGCUCCAUCGCUUUCACAAUCUUCGAUUCAGUGGUAUCGACUAUCUUCUGAUGAAAAUCGAAAGGAAGUAAUUUCAGGUGCCAACAAAACAAUGUACGCCCCGGAACCGCUUGAUGUUGGUCGAAUUUUGCAGGCCGACAUUCUCUCGAAUGGCCAAAAAAUCUCUGUAACAACUGCCAAUCCUAUUGAUUCUGCUGCAGGUUUGGCAAGCUACGUGGAGACACUGUUGCGGAAAUCCAGCAGUGAAUUUAAUGUAGUCAUUUCUCGGAUCAAUGGACAAGAUCAUUCUUUACGUUCGACUCACUCAUUCAAUAUCGGAAAGAUGAGGAUCAAGCUUUGUAGAGGAUGGAUCACAAAGUCCAGGGAAAACUAUUCCACAUCAAUGCUGCUAUGCGGAGCUAGAGGCGACGCUAAUGCUCCGGCCAAGUCAUUGUUUUGGCAACCAAGGAAAGGGCACUCUUACGUAUUAACAUUUGAAUCAGAGAGAGACAGAAAUGCAGCUAUCAUGGUUGCACGAAAGCAUGCUCUCGACUGUAGCGUGAUGCUUGGAGGACCAGAUGAUGAAAUGUAGAAGCUAAAAAUGAAAAUAAAAAUACUAACUUCAAGAGAGUGUCUACAACUUGUGAUAAAAAGGCCAAGAGUUUAAUUGUUGACUUCAUAUGGACUAAACGAAGUGAUGAAUAUCAAAUAGGAUGAAUUGCUUUUGGGGGCUUGAACUUGGUAACUAUUUUUACAUUGGGUUCAAAUUUUCUUUUUUUGCCUAAGUUAGGUCUUAAACUCUACAACUAUUCUCACAUUAGGGUUUGAAUUUUUUUUGUCCGAGUUAGUUUCUAAAUUUGACAAUUGUUCUCGUAUUGGGAUUUGAAUUUUAGGGGUUUUACAAAAAUAUUAGGGAUUAAUUUGGACUAAAAGAAAAUUUAAAUCCUUAAUGUGGGAAUAAUUGUCAAGCUCAACGCUUAACUUGGAUAGAAAAAAAAAUUUAGAUCUCAAUGUGGGAAUAGUUGCUAAGUUUAGGCCUCAAAAAGUAAUUUUAACUCGUAUCAAAGUUAUACGUGAAUUUUGUUUCAA